rnacentral:rRNA from 1 species
UACGUAGGGAGCAAGCGUUGUUCGGAUUCAUUGGGCGUAAAGGGUGCGUAGGCGGCGCGGUAAGUCGGGUGUGAAAUCUUGGAGCUUAACUCCGAAACUGCAUUCGAUACUGCCGUGCUUGAGGACUGGAGAGGAGACUGGAAUUUACGGUGUAGCGGUGAAAUGCGUAGAUAUCGUAAGGAAGACCAGUGGCGAAGGCGGGUCUCUGGACAGUUCCUGACGCUGAGGCACGAAGGUCAGGGGAGCAAACGGG